rnacentral:rRNA from 1 species
GGGUUGUGAGGUUAAGCGACUAAGCGUACACGGUGGAUGCCCUGGCAGUCAGAGGCGAUGAAGGACGUGCUAAUCUGCGAAAAGCGCCGGCGAGGUGAUAUGAACCCUUGACCCGGCGAUGUCCGAAUGGGGAAACCCAGUGUGAUUCGUCACACUAUCGUUAACUGAAUACAUAGGUUAACGAGGCGAACCGGGGGAACUGAAACAUCUAAGUACCCCGAGGAAAAGAAAUCAACCGAGAUUCCCCCAGUAGCGGCGAGCGAACGGGGAGCAGCCCGGAGUCUGAAUCAGCUUGUGUGUUAGUGGAACGGUCUGGAAAGUCCGACGGUACAGGGUGAUAGUCCCGUACACGAAAGCACACUUGCUGUGAACUCGAAGAGUAGGGCGGGACACGUGGUAUCCUGUCUGAAUAUGGGGGGACCAUCCUCCAAGGCUAAAUACUCCUGACUGACCGAUAGUGAACCAGUACCGUGAGGGAAAGGCGAAAAGAACCCCGGCGAGGGGAGUGAAAAAGAACCUGAAACCGUGUACGUACAAGCAGUGGGAGCACCUUCGUGGUGUGACUGCGUACCUUUUGUAUAAUGGGUCAGCGACUUAUAUUCUGUAGCAAGGUUAACCGUAUAGGGGAGCCGAAGGGAAACCGAGUCUUAACUGGGCGUUAAGUUGCAGGGUAUAGACCCGAAACCCGGUGAUCUAGCCAUGGGCAGGUUGAAGGUUGGGUAACACUAACUGGAGGACCGAACCGACUAAUGUUGAAAAAUUAGCGGAUGACCUGUGGCUGGGGGUGAAAGGCCAAUCAAACCGGGAGAUAGCUGGUUCUCCCCGAAAGCUAUUUAGGUAGCGCCUCGUGAACUCAUCUUCGGGGGUAGAGCACUGUUUCGGCUAGGGGGCCAUCCCGGCUUACCAACCCGAUGCAAACUACGAAUACCGAAGAAUGUUAUCACGGGAGACACACGGCGGGUGCUAACGUCCGUCGUGAAGAGGGAAACAACCCAGACCGCCAGCUAAGGUCCCAAAGUCAUGGUUAAGUGGGAAACGAUGUGGGAAGGCACAGACAGCCAGGAUGUUGGCUUAGAAGCAGCCAUCAUUUAAAGAAAGCGUAAUAGCUCACUGGUCGAGUCGGCCUGCGCGGAAGAUGUAACGGGGCUAAACCAUGCACCGAAGCUGCGGCAGCGACACUAUGUGUUGUUGGGUAGGGGAGCGUUCUGUAAGCCGUUGAAGGUGUGCUGUGAGGCAUGCUGGAGGUAUCAGAAGUGCGAAUGCUGACAUAAGUAACGAUAAAGCGGGUGAAAAGCCCGCUCGCCGGAAGACCAAGGGUUCCUGUCCAACGUUAAUCGGGGCAGGGUGAGUCGACCCCUAAGGCGAGGCCGAAAGGCGUAGUCGAUGGGAAACAGGUUAAUAUUCCUGUACUUGGUGUUACUGCGAAGGGGGGACGGAGAAGGCUAUGUCAGCCGGGCGACGGUUGUCCCGGUUUAAGCAUGUAGGCGGAGGUUCCAGGUAAAUCCGGUACCUUAUUAACGCUGAGGUGUGAUGACGAGGCACUACGGUGCUGAAGUGAUAAAUGCCCUGCUUCCAGGAAAAGCCUCUAAGCAUCAGGUAACACGAAAUCGUACCCCAAACCGACACAGGUGGUCAGGUAGAGAAUACCAAGGCGCUUGAGAGAACUCGGGUGAAGGAACUAGGCAAAAUGGUGCCGUAACUUCGGGAGAAGGCACGCUGAUGUGUAGGUGAAGUCCCUGCGGACGGAGCUGAAAUCAGUCGAAGAUACCAGCUGGCUGCAACUGUUUAUUAAAAACACAGCACUGUGCAAACACGAAAGUGGACGUAUACGGUGUGACGCCUGCCCGGUGCCGGAAGGUUAAUUGAUGGGGUUAGCUGUAAGGCGAAGCUCUUGAUCGAAGCCCCGGUAAACGGCGGCCGUAACUAUAACGGUCCUAAGGUAGCGAAAUUCCUUGUCGGGUAAGUUCCGACCUGCACGAAUGGCGUAAUGAUGGCCAGGCUGUCUCCACCCGAGACUCAGUGAAAUUGAACUCGCUGUGAAGAUGCAGUGUACCCGCGGCAAGACGGAAAGACCCCGUGAACCUUUACUAUAGCUUGACACUGAACACUGGUCCUUGAUGUGUAGGAUAGGUGGGAGGCUUUGAAGCGUGGACGCCAGUCUGCGUGGAGCCGCCCUUGAAAUACCACCCUUUAAUGGCUGGUGUUCUAACGUAGACCCGUAAUCCGGGUUGCGGACAGUGUCUGGUGGGUAGUUUGACUGGGGCGGUCUCCUCCCAAAGAGUAACGGAGGAGCACGAAGGUUGGCUAAUCCUGGUCGGACAUCAGGAGGUUAGUGCAAUGGCAUAAGCCAGCUUGACUGCGAGCGUGACGGCGCGAGCAGGUGCGAAAGCAGGUCAUAGUGAUCCGGUGGUUCUGAAUGGAAGGGCCAUCGCUCAACGGAUAAAAGGUACUCCGGGGAUAACAGGCUGAUACCGCCCAAGAGUUCAUAUCGACGGCGGUGUUUGGCACCUCGAUGUCGGCUCAUCACAUCCUGGGGCUGAAGUAGGUCCCAAGGGUAUGGCUGUUCGCCAUUUAAAGUGGUACGCGAGCUGGGUUUAGAACGUCGUGAGACAGUUCGGUCCCUAUCUGCCGUGGGCGCUGGAGAAUUGAGGGGGGCUGCUCCUAGUACGAGAGGACCGGAGUGGACGCAUCACUGGUGUUCGGGUUGUCAUGCCAAUGGCACUGCCCGGUAGCUAAAUGCGGAAGAGAUAAGUGCUGAAAGCAUCUAAGCACGAAACUUGCCCCGAGAUGAGUUCUCCCUGAGACUUUAAGUCUCCUGAAGGAACGUUAAAGACGAUGACGUUGAUAGGUCGGGUGUGUAAGCGCAGCGAUGCGUUGAGCUAACCGAUACUAAUGAACCGUGAGGCUUAACCUUACAACGCCGAAGGUGUUU